rnacentral:sRNA from 1 species
GCUGGACAUGGUGGUGUAGGCCUGUAAUCCUAGCAGCUUGGGAGGCUGAGGCAGGAGGAUCACGGAUUCAAAGCCAGCCUCAGCAUCAGCGAGGUAUAAAGCAACUCAGUGAGACCCUGUCUCUA